AUUGAACGCUGGCGGAAUGCUUUACACAUGCAAGUCGAACGGCAGCACGGGGGCAACCCUGGUGGCGAGUGGCGAACGGGUGAGUAAUACAUCGGAACGUGCCCAGUCGUGGGGGAUAACUACGCGAAAGCGUAGCUAAUACCGCAUACGAACUCAGGUUGAAAGCGGGGGAUCGCAAGACCGCGCGCGAUUGGAGCGGCCGAUGGCAGAUUAGGUAGUUGGUGGGGUAAAGGCUCACCAAGCCGACGAUCUGUAGCUGGUCUGAGAGGACGACCAGCCACACUGGGACUGAGACACGGCCCAGACUCCUACGGGAGGCAGCAGUGGGGAAUUUUGGACAAUGGGCGCAAGCCUGAUCCAGCCAUUCCGCGUGCAGGAUGAAGGCCCUCGGGUUGUAAACUGCUUUUGUACGGAACGAAACGCACCGGGUUAAUACCUCGGCGUAAUGACGGUACCGUAAGAAUAAGCACCGGCUAACUACGUGCCAGCCGCCGCCGUAAUAC
rnacentral:rRNA from 1 species